GGCUAUUCCUCACCAAAGACCUGAGGUGGCUCUGGAGUUCAUGAUGUCCUUCUGAAAUUAACGACAUUUGUCCCCUUUAGGUACUGGAUGGCUGUUAUAACGUCUCCCUGGAGUGUUCUCCUCUCCAGCCUGAACAAGCGCAACUGUCUUGACCUGUCUUCACAGGAGAGGUGCUCCAGCCCCUGAUCAUCGUUGUGGCCCUUCUAUGGAUCCUCUCCAACAGGUAAAAUGUUAACAUGAUAUUUGAAAAAGUCCCAGAACCAUUUGUUUCAUGCAAAACGU
rnacentral:lncRNA from 1 species